CUCUGUGCUGCAGAACUCUGUGCAGCCCGGUGAUUCCCCUGCAACAACUUCUGAGAAAUGCUGUGGUACCUUCUGGAAAGGAUGGCACAGGUUCCAGCCGGCACAGAUCAGGCUCCAGGGGAAGCGCGGAGCCGCAGAAGCGCCGGGCUGCAGCUGGAGCAAACAUCACACCGUGUUCAAACCGCCCUGCUGCCUUCCGCUGGCCAGCCUGGCCCAGGUGGAACCUGCUGCUGCUGCGGGAGGAUUGCACCUCCAGCUGCCCAAACAGCCACGGGAUUAACACCCCAUGGCCAGGACGCUGUUUGUGAAAAACAGUUUAUUUAGAUUCUCUGUAACACAUGAUGAGAGGACAAAGCACUCUGCAGUACAGGGACAAACCUUGUUUAAAAUGUAUUCCUGGGUAUUGGAUGGAAUGGAAAACAUGAACUGGUUUAACUGGCAUUUGGUAUUUUCUAGGGUGCUUGGUUUGUUUGUUUUUCCAUGUGCAUUACAUUUUCCUUCAGACACUUCCAUCUAGAUUGCUUGAUGAAGAUCUCAUGGAGGUUCACAGCUUUUCCAAGGUUGCUGUCUCUGGCUAUCCAGCCUACAUUGGAAGGCUUCCAAGGCAAAAAUGUCAAAAUUAAGCUCAGCAUUAGGCUUUCAUUUCUGGUAUUUUAUAUUUGGGUUCAUCAGGAAUUAGCCAGCAGUCUCAGGAUCCCAUAGGGCUCAAUAUGAUCUUGCUAACCAAAUACUCAUCAGUGUUCUAUUCCUACACAUCCUCCAUGAUCCCAUGAUUUGUCUUUGCUUCUGUCUUUCUACAGCUUCUGUGGAUCUUUAGAGAAAGCUCUUUGCUGAGCUUAGUUUAACAAAAACAAACAUUACAUGCAAUUUGUUCUGGACAGAAAUGUGCCCCGAUUCCAACUCCAGGAAGAUUUUAUCUAGACUUUCUCUUUUUCACUUUUUCCUUUGAGAAGAAGGAGAUUGUUCCUGGGAAGAGCUGGAUAAUGAAACCAGAGACUGCACACUUUGGAGGAGCCCGUGGGCGGAACCUGAAGGGGUUGGAGUGGUGGAGCUGGGUGAGGGUCUGCCCUUCAGGGUGCCGUGACACAGGCGAUCAUGUCCUGUCCUGAGUGACAGAGGUGACAGAGGUGAUCAGAGAGCUCCUGUCCUGUCCUGAGUGCCUUCUCCUCAUGGCUACAGGAGUUAACUUACCUCAACAGUGACAAGAUCAACA
rnacentral:lncRNA from 1 species